GGAGGAGCUGCUGCCUUCGCCUUAAAGAGCGGGAAGCGCGGCAUUUUAAUUUCACAAGAAGCUAUAAGUUAGGGAAUGUAAUAAUUAUAAGUGAUUAUUUAAGUUGCUUUUAUAAUUGCACCGUUUUGAUAUCUUAAUAAAUGAAAGAAACGGCGGAAGGUGCAGUGAUGAGACUUCUAUUGAAUUUCCGCUCGUUUCGUGAAUUUCAACGUUGACGGAACGCCGUUGUUGCAGUUAGUCCCGCAGAAAACUAUCCAAAAGAUUAUAAAAUCAAUUCUAGGGAGAGGGAGAGUUCCUGUACCUUGAAAGUGUGUGGCGGCAGGCAGAAAUUCAACAGGUACAGCAAGUCGGUGUGUUUUGGAGGACAGCAGCCGUCAUGGCUUGCAAUUUGUUUUUGAAGUCUGGAAAGAAAGUUAGAAAGGCUUGAGAACGUCAUUAGAUGCUGCUGAAGAGGGCAUUUGAUCCACAGAUGAACAUGUCCAGUUUGGAAAUGCAAGUAGCAGGUAUUCUGCAUUUGCUGCGUCAUGCUGCUAGUUGUGUAUCAUACCUGGGGCUUGAGCAAGGAUGAGGGGCUGAAUUCUGGAAGUGGUGAGGAUAAGACUUCUGCACAUCAUGGACACUGGAGCUCCACAAGAGUCAACCAGUUCUAGUACGCUUGAAAGUUCAUGGCAUGCUGUUAGAAUGGCCAUAUAAUCCUGAAAUGGUAGCAGGUAUUCUGCAUUUACUGCGUCAUGCUGCUAGUUGUGUAUCAUAUCUGGGGCCUGAGCAAGGAUGAGGAGCUGAAUUCUGGAAGUGGUGAGGAUAAGACUUCUGCACAUCAUGGACACUGCAGCUCCACAAGAGUCAACCAGGCCAUUUUAAAUGGAAGAAGAAUAACCAGGAGAAAAAGAGCUGGAGAAGAUGCUGAGGAUGUAGCCUUGUGAAAGCACCAGCUAUUUAAGCGUAGGUCAGAAGAGAACAGAGUCCUACAGAUCAACAGAACUGGAAAAAUGGCUACCUUUGGUCUCCACCUUCAGUAGGCCUUCAAGACUACAAUUCCCAUCAUCCCUGGUUGCCGACCAUGCUGGCAGCAUUCGGGAGGCCCCAACAUCUACAGGGCAAUAUGAUGGCUUUCUCUGGCAGCAACAUGAUGGAAGAAAAGCUUGUUUGCUCUGAGCAAAGGUGGUUGAGGGAAACACUUAAAUGAGGACAAAGAUAAUGGUCCAAAACCAAAUUAACCGGUUGGGAUGAAGAGGUUUUCUGCAUAUGCAGAAUUAGACAACUCCCCUUGCAAGUAACAGUGGCUUCAGAUUUCAAGAACUCCUAUGCUACCGUAUAUACUGGCGUAUUAGACGGCUUUUGAACCCAGGAAAUUUUUUUCAAAAGUUGGGGGCCCGUCUUAUACGCCGGGUCCAAGAAUCUGCAGUCACCGCAUACGGUGGGGGGAGCUCAAAAACGGCCGCAUCCCCACUGUAUGCAGUGACCAUAUGAACGCAAAGAAGCGCGCUCGGGAGGGGGCUGCUCCCCGCCAGGGAGAAUGGCUCCCUCAUGGCUUUGUGACCUGGAUCAGCGCAGAGAUACAGUUUUGUGUAUUUCAUUGGUGUCAAGCUGCUGCCUCUUCUCUUUUUGUCAGCGCAAAGCAAAGGGAUCUCUCCGUCUCUCUCUCUCCGCUCUCUCUUUCACUGCUGCUCAGCGUCUUUCGCUGGCUGUGUGAGCCUCCGAUGUCUCUGCCCCUCUAUCGCUAUCCUCUCUAUGGUUUCUUUCUCCCCUUUUGCUGCCUCCCUCUCCCUCUCCCUGGCUUCUAUUCCCCUUUUGCUCACUGAGCCAGCCUCGUUGUCUCUCUCUCCGCUCUCUCUUUCACUGCUGCUCAGCGUCUUUCGCUGGCUGUGUGAGCCUCCGAUGUCUCUGCCCCUCUAUCGCUAUCCUCUCUAUGGUUUCUUUUGCUCGAUGUCUCUGCCUCCCUCUCCCUCUCCCCCUCCCUCCUUUUGAUCGAUGUCUCUGCUUCUCUAUCUCUCCUUUCGCCGGCUUCUUUCCCCCUCUCAAUAACUAAGCAAGCAAGCAAGCAAACAAACCACCAUUUCCCCGGCUGCAGACUUGAGUGCUGGAGAAGACAGCCUCCCCUCCCCUCC